rnacentral:rRNA from 1 species
GUGGUUUAAUUCGAUGCAACGCGAAGAACCUUACCUGGGCUUGACAUCCCUGGAAUCCCCUGGAAACAGGGGAGUGCCCUUCGGGGAGCCAGGAGACAGGUGCUGCAUGGCUGUCGUCAGCUCGUGUCGUGAGAUGUUGGGUUAAGUCCCGCAACGAGCGCAACCCUUGUCUUUAAUUGCCAUCAUUCAGUUGGGCACUUUAAAGAGACUGCCGGUGUUAAACCGGAGGAAGGUGGGAUGACGUCAAGUCCUCAUGGCCUUUAUGCCCAGGGCUACACACGUGCUACAAUGGGUGGUACAAAGAGAUGCAAUCUCGCAAGAGCAAGCAAACCUCAAAAAGCCAUCCUCAGUCCGGAUUGGAGUCUGCAACUCGACUCCAUGAAGUUGGAAUCGCUAGUAAUCGCGGAUCAGCACGCCGCGGUGAAUACGUUCCCGGGCCUU